rnacentral:rRNA from 1 species
UACGUAGGGUGCAAGCGUUAAUCGGAAUUACUGGGCGUAAAGCGUGCGCAGGCGGUUCGUUGUGUCGGCGGGGAAAGCCCCGGGCUCAACCUGGGAAUGGCCGUUGAAACUGGCGAACUGGAGUGUGGCAGAGGGGGGUGGAAUUCCGCGUGUAGCAGUGAAAUGCGUAGAGAUGCGGAGGAACACCGAUGGCGAAGGCAGCCCCCUGGGCUAACACUGACGCUCAGGCACGAAAGCGUGGGGAGCAAACAGG